AUGUCGCCUCCAGUGGUGAGAAUGUCCACUGAGGAUGCCAUCCCUUUAAAUGCGGCCUGGUUGUGGACUGUGCACGAUGUGGACAGCUGUGACAGCACCUGGGAACACAGGCCCGAGGAAGAAUUGCCAAAGCGGUGCAGAAGAGGCUAUGAACAUCCGAAGGGGGGAUUGGAAGUUCAUCUUUGCAUUCCUGGUGCCUGGCACAUAGAAGGCAGUCAAUCAGGUUACUGACUUCUAGAAUUCAAAUGAGCUAGCCAUGGUACAGUUUCUGGCCCUGGGAGCUUAGCCACGGAGAACAGAUUGUGAACUGAAGAGCUAGUGCCCAGCCAGUGGGCACUUCCUGUUGUCAGUCCUCAACUCAAUAGAUCAACGGCCCAGGGGACCCUAAGCAGUGACCUGCAGUCUCCGGUGGGAGCCGGACCUGGGCUCGGCGCCUUUAUGACCGAGGUGAGGCUCUGUCAUCCCUGUCCCUGGGCUUCCGUGUCUCCAUCUGUCAAUGUGGCUGUGGGUCUUAAUUAGAAAGCUCUUAGAGAUUCCUGAAAGGACUGUUACUGUACAGCUACACAAAGGAUAUUAUGUCACAGAGGUACAAAAGCAUGGCAAAUAAUGGAAACCAGGAAUAAUAAGGGCACUUAUUCCCAGAAGCACAUUGAUUUAAACCACAAAAGCUCCUUGGAACACGGCUUGAGAAUUGUAAAAGCCUGAGCAAUCAACAACCCCUGUGGGAGGGAAGCCCAUGCCAGGCAGUUGCUGGAGAGUUCAUUUGGCUGUUGUAGGCAGGCCAGUUUUGUCCCUCAGGUGUUCUCACAUCGGUGACAUUUCCCUGCUGUAGUGAGCCCAGCCUAUUUGCUGGUUUCCGGAGAGAAACAACCAUUACUUCCACAACUCUUGCAUAAGGGUGCAAAGAACUGGCCUUAGCACAGUUCAGCUGACUUUUCCUUCUAUGUAUGAUGAACAUGGGUCUCCAGAUAAUGGAAACUUCAUCACCGCUUCUGCUUCCAAAAUCUGCAUAGCAGCAAUAUCAUCUGGUCACACCUUGACCCAGCCAUUGCUACCUCUGGUUGGCAACUUUGGACGACCACCCAGAUGCAGUGUAUCCGUGAAAAAUAAAGCUCCCUUAAGAAACAGGUCAUCCGACGUGCAAAAGUGUAUUCAAGCAUAGCUUUGACAGCAGAAUGGGCAGAAUCUACAAAGAAUGACGGCUCUGAUGGCAGAAAAAUGUUAAACUUCUGAAUGACAAAAAGCACCAAAACUCAAACUAUAAGAUAAAAAGAACAAAUUGUAGGGAAUAUAUUUGCAGCAUUCAUAAUACACCAAUGAGUACUAUCCUGAAUAUAUAAAGACUUUUGAAAAUCAUUAAGAAAAAUAACAGCCACCCAAUAGAAAAAUGGGUUGAGGAUACAGAGACUUGACAAAAUAAAAAUUACAUAUGGCUAAUGAACAGCUUGUAAAAAUGUAAUAAUGAAAUAAAU